UAUCUAAGUAAGCCGAUCAACUUGACUAAGAUUUUUCAAAUAGCAAUAGUGAUAGUAUUUUUAUUUGAAAAAGUACCCUGUUAGCCUCGAUAAUGUAUUCAGUUUUUUAUUUGAAGCAAUGUUGAAAAUAAGUUAAGCUUAAUUCAUUUAAAAAACAAUGGAGCACCCGCCGUCGAGUAGUUUUUGCUUUUUUCUGCAAUGUAUUUGCGAACUGUCAAAAACUGUUCGACUGCUGGUACUCAAUUCUAAAACAGUUUGAGCACCUUUGAGAGAAAAUUCGUGUUUUUAUUCAAAAAUUUAAUAUUUCAGUUUGUUGGGUUUUGCAUAGUGUUACAAUUUUACUAACGAUCAUAAUGUGUGGUAAAUUGUUGCGAUCAAUUUUGACAAUUAUUUUAUUUCAACAACCUUUCUGAAAAGCUGAUCGAUUUUGAUCAUUUGAGUUAAACGUCGAAAAAAGAAUAAAACAAAGAUCAAACGUAACAUUAAAGUAUUGAAAUACCACUUUUAUUUCUGUCUAUACCAAAAUAUUGACUGGACAUUGCUUUUUGCUAUUUUUUCUGGAAAGCUAUGUUUUUUUUUGAAAAAUUGAUAAAUAUUGAACAUUUUUUUAUUGUGCAAAAAUAUGACUUGAAAAGACUUACAGUUAAAUUAAAUUUUAUUAAACCCUACAUUUCGGAAGUGCUUUUUGGUUAUUUUGAAAAAAAAAAAUAGCUCGUCGAAUUCCUCAUAGUCAUAACCAAAAACUUAUUUGAACUUGGAAAAGGGUAAAUUUGGUUUUCCGUGUAUUGAGUUUAUGGCAUUUUUCCUUAGCUGAGAAACGUCAAAGCACCAAAAAAACGCUGCCUCCCACCCGCCUGCUGCGAUUGCAUUUUUUUGUUUACGUGAGUUUGCGGCGUUUGUCCUGUUUAUCCUAAAGUUGGAUUCGGACCGUGGCUCAGCUGGUCCCUUCUGAUCCUGCCUUUACAGUCAACUGUAGCGAUCUGGGCUGACAUCCGAAACCGCGUACAAUCGCGUUCCGGCGAUCGGCCAACAUGAAAUUGGGCGAUUACUCCGCUACACGAGACUGGUCUAGGACAAGGUCGAAGUUGUUGAUAACGGUAAGUUCCUUCUAGGAGAUUUUGUUUGUUUAUUUAUAUAUUUUUUUCAAACUAUUUCCUCACAGAAGUUCCUGUUCUUGAUCAGCUUUCUUGGGCACAGAGGCAUCGGCAGCAGCAGCGGAGAGGCUUGGCUCCCUUCUGGAUAGCGGGGGCAGACACCUUGCAGAGCGGCCUGGCGCAGGUCCCGCCGGAGCCGGUUGCUGUUGUUCUUCAGGGUGUGGCGUGGGUUGUGCUUCAGCGUCACCUUCACGGUGGCCUUGGGCGGCUUGGUCUUUGGCCAUUUGACUUCUGGUGGACCAGUUCCGGCGCUUCAGUAGGAACGAUGGGAUGAAGAAUCGGCAUGUUACAGCAAAACACGUUGGUGACAUCAUAAUCAGGAUCGCUAAGGGCAAGGGCGAUGACGAACACCGUUACGAUGCUAGCAGGUGUCUCCAUGGCUCAGUUGGUUUCGGUUCCACAGCUCUCGAUUCGCUGUUGCCCAUAGUCUAGGGUUCGGAAUGAAGCAUUACCGGCGUCGAAUUGAACGCUGGUCUUCCGUAUCCGUCUCUCGCCCAAGUUUGAGCAUUUGAUCUGACCGCCUGGAUUGGGAGCAGAUCAUGAUGGACAUCCGGGCCGAAACGGGGUACGAAAAGCUUCAGUGAGUGAUACGAAUGAAACCGAUGAUUUCAAGCCGAUUGAUGUGGAUUUUGUUUCUACUUUAUUCCAAAAUUAUUUUUAUAACUGUAAGUACUGAAUGUUAUUUGUUUUCCGCAGAACUACAUAUUUAUGUAAGCCAACAUUUCUCGCUUACUUACUCAAAAGAUCCUAUCCACAUUGGAAACCCAUGGGGCAAAGGAUCUUUUGAAACAGUAUUCUAGAUUUUUUGUAUUAUUUCAUAUCACUCCGUUGAAUUUUAAGUCUGAUACUACUUUUCAUGCUAUUAGCCCACAGUAGUUUGGAAUGAUUUACUUUUGUAAUGUCUAGUCAAUGAAAAGUAUUUUUUAUACUUGAGUGCUAAAAUAGAUAAGAAAGAUAACAAAAGUGAACCGUUCCAAUAAACGUUGAGCUUUUCUAGCAUUUGAAAUUUACAUCAGAUUCAAAAUUCAACGGAGUAAAAAAAAUUUAGGUUUGGGUAAAAUUACAUCGAUUUCAUCGGAAAAUUACAUGUUUCGGAAGCGAAGUUUGUUCGGCAAGUUUACGUCGGAUGGCAUUUAAAUUUACAAUGAAUUUGAUGUAAAUUAGCAUCAUUAAUGACGUGCACUUUUGGUACAUCAUAAAUGAUGUAAAUUUACCCGAUUUUUUUUUUCUGUGUACGACGCCGAUGGAUGUAAUGCAUUUCAGUUUUCACCAAGUUGUUGUUGUUGUUUUCGGUUGCCAGUGACGGUUCUUUGCGUGAACAUAAAACUGUUUCACGAUGACGUGCUGCCUCCUGCCCCUCUUCCCCUGAUGGUCGUGGCCGGUCAGCACGGAACGUGCUCCGAGGGUGCCCAUCGAAUGUGAGGUUAUUCCGUAAUGGGGUACGGGUUAUGGGUCAUUGACUUUUAUUUGUUAUGAUUGUGUUGAAAAUGAUUGAAAGCAGUUGGAGUAGACGAUAUUGCGUUUUUUUGCCUUGAAAAUAAAUUUUAAAACCUGGACAUAAAUUUAAAAAAAAGUCUUCUGACAACUACAACUAAUUCAGGAAAAAAAACUUAUUUUGCGCACUUUUUCGGAACAUUCUCUUUCUCCUGAUCUACCGUAAACCAUAAACAAAUCCAGCCUGGAAAAUCCCAUUCAUUUUUCCUGAUGACUGGCCUUUGGCCGCCGAGUUUAGUUAAGACUACCGACCGGCCGUCAUCUCGCUCUCUGCUCUGCUUCAUAUGCGAUGUGGGCAGCUCGGCAAAAGUAAACAAAUAAAUCAAUUAUACUUGAGAGCAGAACAGAAGUAGACUGAUGAAGAACAAGAUUUGGGUGG